rnacentral:tRNA from 1 species
GGAUGGGAAGCUCAGUUGGAAGAGCACCAGAUUUGAAACUUAGUUUCACUCGGGGAGGUCGUGGGUUCGUAUCACACCCCGUCCA